rnacentral:lncRNA from 1 species
GGUUAGUGUCGUGUUGCUGUGGGAACAGACCAGGGUUAGUGUUGUGUUGCUGUGGGAACAGACCAGGGUUAGUGUCGUGUUGCUGUGGGAACAGACCAGGGUUAGUGUUGUGUUGCGGUGGGAACAGACCAGGGUUAGUGUUGUGUUGCUGUGGGAACAGACCAGGGUUAGUGUUGUGUUGCUGUGGGAACAGACCAGGGUUAGUGUUGUGUUGCUGUGGGAACAGAGCAGGGUUAGUGUUGUGUUGCUGUGGGAACAGACCAGGUGUUGUGUUGCUGUGGGAACAGACCAGGGUUAGUGUUGCGUUG